GGCGGACGGGUGAGUAAUGCUUGGGAAUCUGCCCAAUAGUGGGGGAUAACGUGUGGAAACGCACGCUAAUACCGCAUACGUCCUACGGGAGAAAGCAGGGGAUCUUCGGACCUUGCGCUAUUGGAUGAGCCCAAGUCAGAUUAGCUAGUUGGUGGGGUAAUGGCUCACCAAGGCGACGAUCUGUAGCUGGUCUGAGAGGAUGAUCAGCCACACUGGGACUGAGACACGGCCCAGACUCCUACGGGAGGCAGCAGUGGGGAAUAUUGCACAAUGGGCGAAAGCCUGAUGCAGCCAUGCCGCGUGUGUGAAGAAGGCUCUAGGGUUGUAAAGCACUUUCAGUGGGGAGGAAAAGUUCAAAACUAAUAUUUUUGAACCUUGACGUUACCUGCAGAAGAAGCACCGGCAAACUCCGUGCCAGCAGCCGCGGUAAUACGGAGGGUGCGAGCGUUAAUCGGAAUUACUGGGCGUAAAGCGCGCGUAGGUGGUUUGAUAAGCUAGCUGUGAAAGCCCUGGGCUCAACCUGGGAACUGCAGUUAGAACUGUCUGGCUAGAGUAUAGUAGAGGGUGGCGGAAUUUCCUGUGUAGCGGUGAAAUGCGUAGAUAUAUGGAGGAAUACCAGUGGCGAAGGCGGCCUCCUGGCUCGAUACUGACGCUGAGGUGCGAAAGCGUGGGGAUCAAACAGGAUUAGAUACCCUGGUAGA
rnacentral:rRNA from 1 species